GACGAACGCUGGCGGCGUGCCUAAUACAUGCAAGUCGAGCGGACCACUUCGGUGGUCAGCGGCGGACGGGUGAGUAACACGUGGGCCACCUGCCUGUAAGACUGGGAUAACACCGGGAAACCGGUGCUAAUACCGGAUAAUCCUUUCCUUCACAUGAGGGAAAGCUGAAAGACGGUUUCGGCUGUCACUUACAGAUGGGCCCGCGGCGCAUUAGCUAGUUGGUGAGGUAACGGCUCACCAAGGCAACGAUGCGUAGCCGACCUGAGAGGGUGAUCGGCCACACUGGGACUGAGACACGGCCCAGACUCCUACGGGAGGCAGCAGUAGGGAAUCUUCCGCAAUGGACGAAAGUCUGACGGAGCAACGCCGCGUGAGCGAUGAAGGCCUUCGGGUCGUAAAGCUCUGUUGUCAGGGAAGAACAAGUACCGGAGUAACUGCCGGUACCUUGACGGUACCUGACCAGAAAGCCACGGCUAACUACGUGCCAGCAGCCGCCGUAAGAC
rnacentral:rRNA from 1 species